rnacentral:rRNA from 1 species
UACAGAGGUCUCAAGCGUUGUUCGGAUUCAUUGGGCGUAAAGGGCGCGUAGGCUGCGGGGCAAGUCGGGUGUGAAAUCUCAGAGCUCAACUCUGAAACUGCACUCGAUACUGCUUUGCUCGAGGACUGGAGAGGAGAUUGGAAUUCACGGUGUAGCGGUGAAAUGCGCAGAUAUCAGGAAGAACACCCGUGGCGAAGGCGGCUCUCUGGUACGUGACUGACGCUGAGACGCGAAAGCGUGGGGAGCGAACAGG